CAGUCGCCGCGGGAAUACGAAGGGGGCUAGCGUUGCUCGGAAUUACUGGGCGUAAAGGGAGCGUAGGCGGAUCGUUAAGUUGGGGGUGAAAGCCCGGGGCUCAACCUCGGAAUUGCCUUCAAUACUGGCGAUCUUGAGUAUGGAAGAGGUAUGUGGAACUCCGAGUGUAGAGGUGAAAUUCGUAGAUAUUCGGAAGAACACCAGUGGCGAAGGCGACAUACUGGUCCAUUACUGACGCUGAGGCUCGAAAGUGUGGGGAGCAAACAGGAUUAGAUACCCCUGUAGUCCCUGUCUCUUAUAC
rnacentral:rRNA from 1 species